CUUUUGCAUCUUUUUUUUUUUGUUUUUUUUUUGUUACCAUAGACCUUCAUUCAGUUGUUAAGUUUCCCACAGGGGAGGUAGCAGUAGCUGGUCCUGCAUGAAAAACACCUCCUCAGCCCUUAUCCAUUAAAGACUGCAUUAAAACUGCUGAAUGUGUGGACAAGGACGACCACACAAUCUCUGCAUAUGUGGACUAGGUCCAGGUUUUGCAAGCCUCCAGAAAUGAAUGGGCCAUUAGCUGUGGGCUACUUCUUCACCUUGUGCACUGCUACCAAAGUGAAAUCUCCAGCAACAAAUCCCAAAUCACCUUAAGGUAUGUCAGCCUCCAGGACUGCCAAGAAACACUCAAUCUAUCUGGGUGUGUUCCAAUUCUACGCUCCCCAAAGAUGGCCAUCAUACUGUAUCUGGAGUAGAGUGGGAGACACGGCAGAGGAAACAACAGUAUAUUCUAAGAGAACUUCUGUAGAAAUAUCACAUAAUAAUAUACCGUCAUUUCCGGACUGCUAAUUACACCUGAAUAUAAGCCACACCCACUAAAUUUAAAAAGAAAAAAAUAAUUGUACAUACAGUAUAUAGGCACUUCUUUAUAACUCGCAAUUUACACAGAACGUUUUUGUUUUUCACUUUUAAUUAAAUAAAUGUUUGUUUGUUUUUUUCCCGAAUCGUGCAUGUAACACGGCUGGUUAAUCCGUAGCUCUUUCCUGUUUCGACGUCCCGACCGUAGUUGGAAUGCACAGGGGAGACUUUAAGCGAUCCGCUCCAAGUGCGAAGCUAACGUUAGCUCCGGAGCUAACGCCCUAAACUCAGUGCUUGUCCGCAGCAGAGUGAUAUUGGGAAUGAUGUUAUUCACGUCGUCAACAAGAGAUGGAACACGUCUUUACCCUGGAGGCACUGUACCAUGGGAGUGUGUGAGCUUGUAAAUUGGAAGAAGUGACUUGAGAUUAUAAGGAAAAGGUGACGUCCUCAAAAAACAAAAAUCACAAUGACUUCGAAGACAUGGGAUGGAGACGGAAUGUUUGUCUGUGUCCAGCUGCAGGCAAAAGCUUUCACAACAAGCUCUUCCCCAGCCUCAAUGAACACAAUGUUCCAUCAAAACACGUAUGUGUGGAAAAUGACCCUAUAGCGCCGACUCCCCCGUGUUCAUCAGUGAUCUCAGCCACUCCGCCUCACUCUGGGUCCGACAGGACCGUGCAUGAUGUCACCCGUGUUUACAAUGCAUUCUGGUGCGCUGCUGAAGGAGUCGGCAGGAACAACUCAAGGACAUGUGGGAAUAUCAAUGCCAUAGUAGACAUGUGGUUGAACAUCAUCAACACGCCUAAAGGCACACAGUGGUUUCUUACGAGGGGUAGAACUAGUAUAAGAAAAACAGGUACAUAAAUGACAAUGAUUGUUCUUUCGGUUUCCCAGGCAAAAUAUCUAUAUUUAUUUGCAUUAGAAUGUUCUAUUCACCAAAAAAAAAAAAAA